rnacentral:rRNA from 1 species
GAUGAACGCUGGCGGUGUGCCUAAUACAUGCAAGUCGAGCGAACAGACGAGGAGCUUACUCCUCUGACGUUAGCGGCGGACGGGUGAGUAACACGUGGAUAACCUACCUAUAAGACUGGGAUAACUUCGGGAAACCGGGGCUAAUACCGGAUAAUAUGUUGAACCGCAUGGUUCAAUAGUGAAAGACGGUUUUGCUGUCACUUAUAGAUGGAUCCGCGUCGCAUUAGCUAGUUGGUAAGGUAACGGCUUACCAAGGCAACGAUGCGUAGCCGACCUGAGAGGGUGAUCGGCCACACUGGAACUGAGACACGGUCCAGACUCCUACGGGAGGCAGCAGUAGGGAAUCUUCCGCAAUGGGCGAAAGCCUGACGGAGCAACGCCGCGUGAGUGAAGAAGGUCUUCGGAUCGAAAAACUCUGUUAUUAGGGAAGAACAAAUGUGUAAGUAACUAUGCACGUCUUGACGGUACCUAAUCAGAAAGCCACGGCUAACUACGUG